GGGUUGUGAGGUUAAGCGACUAAGCGUACACGGUGGAUGCCCUGGCAGUCAGAGGCGAUGAAGGACGUGCUAAUCUGCGAUAAGCGUCGGUGAGGUGAUAUGAACCGUUAUAACCGGCGAUUUCCGAAUGGGGAAACCCAGUGUGUUUCGACACACUAUCAUUAACUGAAUCCAUAGGUUAAUGAGGCGAACCGGGGGAACUGAAACAUCUAAGUACCCCGAGGAAAAGAAAUCAACCGAGAUUCCCCCAGUAGCGGCGAGCGAACGGGGAGGAGCCCAGAGCCUGAAUCAGUGUGUGUGUUAGUGGAAGCGUCUGGAAAGGCGUGCGAUACAGGGUGACAGCCCCGUACACAAAAAUGCACAUAUUGUGAGCUCGAUGAGUAGGGCGGGACACGUGGUAUCCUGUCUGAAUAUGGGGGGACCAUCCUCCAAGGCUAAAUACUCCUGACUGACCGAUAGUGAACCAGUACCGU
rnacentral:rRNA from 1 species